UUAGUAAGCUGGACGGUUGCGGGCAUAAGGAGUGAUCCUGUGCGUGAGGAAAGUCCGAGCUACAUAGGGCAGGAUGCAAGAUAACGUCUUGUGGAGGCGACUCCAAGGAUAGUGCAACAGAAAGUUACCGCCGAUUUUCGGUAAGGGUGGAAAAGUGAGGUAAGAGCUCACUCGUGGUAUGGUGACAUAUCAUUGGUGUAAACCCCAUCUGUAGCAACACCUGAUAGAGGAGGAUAAGUUGGCCCGACAUCUCCCGGGAAGGUGGCUUAAGGCGCGUAGUGAUAUGCGCAUUAGAUAGAUGACCGUCUUAAAUGACAGAACUCGGCUUACAGGCUUACUAAUUAC
rnacentral:RNase_P_RNA from 1 species